rnacentral:rRNA from 1 species
CGGACCGGCACGGGUGAGUAACGCGUAUCCAACCUGCCCUUUACUAUGGGACAGCCCGUCGAAAGGCGGAUUAAUACCGUAUGUUGUCAUGUUGAUGCAUAUUUUCAUGACCAAAGGCUUCGGCCGGUAAAGGAUGGGGAUGCGUCUGAUUAGCUUGCCGGCGGGGUAACGGCCCACCGGGGCGACGAUCAGUAGGGGUUCUGAGAGGAAGGUCCCCCACAUUGGAACUGAGACACGGUCCAAACUCCUACGGAAGGCAGCAG